rnacentral:rRNA from 1 species
CGGCCUCACUGAGGCCCCUCGGAAACGAGGAGCAGCCCGCCGGCGGCCAACCAAACUCUUGUUUCUUAGUGAAUCUCUGAGUAAAAAACAUAAAUGAAUCAAAACUUUCAACAACGGAUCUCUUGGUUCUGGCAUCGAUGAAGAACGCAGCGAAAUGCGAUAAGUAAUGUGAAUUGCAGAAUUCAGUGAAUCAUCGAAUCUUUGAACGCACAUUGCGCCCUCUGGUAUUCCGGAGGGCAUGCCUGUUCGAGCGUCAUUUCAACCCUCAAGCAUUGCUUGGUGUUGGGGCACCGCCUGUAAAGGGCGGGCCCUGAAAUCUAGUGGCGAGCUCGCCAGGACCCCGAGCGUAGUAAUUAUAUUUCGUUCUGGAAGGCCCUGGCGGUGCCCUGCCGUUAAACCCCCAACUUCUGAAAAUUUGACCUCGGAUCAGGUAGGAAUACCCGCUGAACUUAAGCAUAUCAAUAAGCCGGAGG